rnacentral:rRNA from 1 species
UACGAAGGGGGCUAGCGUUGCUCGGAAUCACUGGGCGUAAAGGGUGCGUAGGCGGGUCUUUAAGUCAGGGGUGAAAUCCUGGAGCUCAACUCCAGAACUGCCUUUGAUACUGAAGAUCUUGAGUUCGGGAGAGGUGAGUGGAACUGCGAGUGUAGAGGUGAAAUUCGUAGAUAUUCGCAAGAACACCAGUGGCGAAGGCGGCUCACUGGCCCGAUACUGACGCUGAGGGACGAAAGCUAGGGGAGCGAAUGGG